UGGGGAAUUUUGGACAAUGGGCGCAAGCCUGAUCCAGCCAUGCCGCGUGCAGGAUGAAGGCCUUCGGGUUGUAAACUGCUUUCGUACGGGACGAAAAGGUUUGCCCUAAUACGUUGGGCUAAUGACGGUACCGUCAGAAUAAGCACCGGCUGACUACGUGCCAGCAGCCGCGGUAAUACGUAGGGUGCGAGCGUUAAUCGGAAUUACUGGGCGUAAAGCGUGCGCAGGCGGUUUUGCAAGUCAGAUGUGAAAGCCCCGGGCUUAACCUGGGAACGGCAUUGGAUACUGCAGAGCUAGAGUACAUCAGAGGGAGGUAGAAUUCCAGGUGUAGCAGUGAAAUGCGUAGAGAUAUGGAGGAACACCGGUGGCGAAGGCAGCCACCUGGAUGAAGAUUGACGCUCAUGCACGAAAGCGUGGGGAGCAAACA
rnacentral:rRNA from 1 species